rnacentral:rRNA from 1 species
UACGUAGGGUGCAAGCGUUGUCCGGAAUUAUUGGGCGUAAAGAGCUCGUAGGCGGCUCGGUAAGUCGGGUGUGAAACCUCCAGGCUCAACCUGGAGACGCCACCCGAUACUGCUGUGGCUAGAGUCCGGUAGGGGAGCGUGGAAUUCCUGGUGUAGCGGUGAAAUGCGCAGAUAUCAGGAGGAACACCAGCGGCGAAGGCGGCGCUCUGGGCCGGAACUGACGCUGAGGAGCGAAAGCGUGGGUAGCAAACAGG